rnacentral:rRNA from 1 species
UACCAGCUCUCCGAGUGGUAGGGAUGUUUAUUGGGCUUAAAGCGUCCGUAGCCGGCUUAGCAAGUCUCCUGUUAAAUUCAGUGACCUAAUCGUUGAGCCGCGGGAGAUACUACUAGGCUAGGAGGCGGGAGAGGUCAACGGUACUUCCGGGGUAGGGGUGAAAUCCUAUAAUCCCGGGAGGACCACCAGUGGCGAAGGCUGUUGACUAGAACGCGCUCGACGGUGAGGGACGAAAGCUGGGGGAGCGAACCGGAUUAGAUACCCGGGUAGUCCCAGCUGUAAACGAUGCGAGCUAGGUGUUGGGGUGGCUACGUGCCACUUCAGUGCCGCAGGGAAGCCAUUAAGCUCGCCGCCUGGGGAGUACGGCCGCAAGGCUGAAACUUAAAGGAAUUGGCGGGGGAGCACCACAAGGCGUGAAGCUUGCGGUUC